GCCCUUGAUGGCUCAGAUGGAUAGAGCGUCUGCCAUGCAAGUGGGAGAUCCCGGGUUCGAAUCCCGGUUGGGGCA